rnacentral:rRNA from 1 species
ACGGAGGGUGCAAGCGUUAUUCGGAAUUACUGGGCGUAAAGGGCGUGUAGGCGGGACGGUAAGUUAGAUGUGAAAGCCUAGGGCUCAACCUUGGAACGGCCUUUAAUACUGGCGGUCUUGAGGUUGUAAGAGGAAAGGGGAAUUCCCGGUGUAAGGGUGAAAUUUGUAGAUAUCGGGAGGAACACCAGUGGCGAAAGCGGCCUUCUAGUCAGCAUCUGACGCUAAUCUGCGAAAGCUUGGGGAGCAAACAG